rnacentral:tRNA from 1 species
UGUUACCUUAGUAUAAUGAAUUAUGCGUCGUAAUGACGCUGUGAAAUUGGUAUUACUUUUGCCGUGCUAGACGGGGAGGUAGCGG